rnacentral:rRNA from 1 species
AUUGAACGCUAGCGGGAUGCCUUACACAUGCAAGUCGAACGGAGUGGCGAACGGGUGAGUAAUGUAUCGGAACGUGACCAGUAGCGGGGGAUAACUACGCGAAAGCGUAGCUACUACCGCAUACUAUUGGAGCGGCCGACAUCGGAUUAGGCAGUUGGUGGGGUAACGGCUCACCAAGGCGACGGUCCGUAGCUGGUUUGACAGGACGACUCGGCAAAAUGGGACUGAGACACGGGCCAGACUCCUACGGGAGGCAUCAGUGGGGAAAUUUGGACAAUGGGGGAAACCCUGAUCCAGCCAUCCCGCGUGAGUGAAGAAGGUUUUCGGAUCGUAAAGCUCUGUUGUUAGAGAAGCGGUAACUAACCAGAAAGGGACGGCUAACUACGUGCCAGCAGCCGCGGUAAUAC